UCCCUGGUUCGAUCCCGGGUUUCGGCACC
rnacentral:piRNA from 7 species